AAGGAGAGGAAAAGCCAUGUUCAUGCUGCUGGAUUCACAACUUGUCCCAUCCUUCUGUGAUGUCAUAAUUCGAGCAGCAGCCCACAAAUCUGAACACUAACCAGCCCUGUAACUGGUCCCCACCUCCCACACACUUUUCAUCACCCACUUGCACACAACAUCUGGGGACUCUAUUUCCACCCUACUAUCCUGUGAGCUAACUGCCCAGAUUCCGUGUCCAGCGAUACUCAGAGAGCCGGUAUCCUCAGGAGGUCUCUGCCCAAGUGUCCACCCCUCAGAGAGUCCUCGCCAGACCUCCAAAUAUAAAGUCCCAUGCAUCCUGUCUCCUCUGCACGUUUUCCUUUUCUAUGACUUCAUGCCACUUAUUCCAAAGCAUCUCACGAUGCACUAUGGGGAAUCCAGGAAUACCUGCUAGAGACCAGGCAUGCAGGAAAUCUGGACAUUUCUGUGGCAAAGAACCCAAGAGAUGCUGACACCAACUUUCUUCUUGACAGAGAGGGAAGCACACAGCUCUGGGGGCCUUCUAGAGUCACGGCCCUCGCUCACCAGGAGAUUAACCCGUCAGGCUGUCGAGUGAGAAGGGACGGAGCAGACCCUGACAGGAGGCCCGCAAUGCAGGGGAAAUCAAAACAAAUCCACCUGCUCAGGGAAGACUUUUUCGACACCUCGUCCCCCUACGGACAUCUGUGGCAAGUGUCAUCCCGACCACUGGUGUGGCACUGGAUCAUUUAUGACUGCCUCAUGACAUUAUUUUUCACUGUUGUCUUUGUAUUGUUGUUUGAGGACUUUGUGUAAUGGUCUCUUCUCACUCCACAAAUAAACUGCAGCACCUGGCAGGCGGGGAGCAGCUUGA